GAUGAACGCUGGCGGCGUGCCUAAUACAUGCAAGUCGAGCGAACAGAUGAGGAGCUUGCUCCUCUGACGUUAGCGGCGGACGGGUGAGUAACACGUGGAUAACCUACCUAUAAGACUGGGAUAACUUCGGGAAACCGGAGCUAAUACCGGAUAAUAUAUUGAACCGCAUGGUUCAAUAGUGAAAGACGGUUUUACUGUCACUUAUAGAUGGAUCCGCGCCGCAUUAGCUAGUUGGUAAGGUAACGGCUUACCAAGGCAACGAUGCGUAGCCGACCUGAGAGGGUGAUCGGCCACACUGGAACUGAGACACGGUCCAGACUCCUACGGGAGGCAGCAGUAGGGAAUCUUCCGCAAUGGGCGAAAGCUUGACGGAGCAACGCCGCGUGAGUGAUGAAGGUCUUCGGAUCGUAAAACUCUGUUAUUAGGGAAGAACAAAUGUGUAAGUAACUAUGCACGUCUUGACGGUACCUAAUCAGAAAGCCACGGCUAACUACGUG
rnacentral:rRNA from 1 species